ACGAAAUCUCUAACACUUUCAAUGAGGGGACAUAUAUGUUUUAAGAAUAUUGUGUAAUAUACAGGCCUCAAUUUGCAAAUAUUUCUCUUUUUAGUGAUUAAUAUAUUUUUGCAAUUCUUUAUCCCUUGGGUUUGCUUCUGAUUAGCUAGUUGGUGAGGCAAUAGCUUAUCAAGGCAAUGAUCAGUAGCUGGUUCGAGAGGAUGAUCAACCACACUGGGACUGAGACACGGCCCAGACUCCUACGGAAAGCAGGAGUGGGAAGUUUUCUGCAAUGGGCGAAAACCUGACGGAGCAAAGCUGCAUGGAGGUAGAAGGUCCACAGGUCGUGAACUUCUUUUCUCGGAGAAGAAGUAAUGACAGUAUCUGGGGAAUAAGCAUUGGCUAACUCUGUCCGAUCAAUAACAUAUAUUAU
rnacentral:rRNA from 1 species